ACAACAUUCUGACCAUCGGUCUACCGUGCAAUAUCACCCACUCGGUGGAAGAUUUUCCCAUUGUCGC
rnacentral:pre_miRNA from 1 species